rnacentral:rRNA from 1 species
AGUGAACGCUGGCGGUAGGCCUAACACAUGCAAGUCGAACGGCAGCACAGUAAGAGCUUGCUCUUACGGGUGGCGAGUGGUGGACGGGUGAGGAAUACAUCGGAAUCUACUUUUUCGUGGGGGAUAACGUAGGGAAACUUACGCUAGUACCGCAUACGACCUACGGGUGAAAGCAGGGGAUCUUCGGACCUUGCGCGAUUGAAUGAGCCGAUGUCGGAUUAGCUAGUUGGCGGGGUAAAGGCCCACCAAGGCGACGAUCCGUAGCUGGUCUGAGAGGAUGAUCAGCCACACUGGAACUGAGACACGGUCCAGACUCCUACGGGAGGCAGCAGUGGGGAAUAUUGGACAAUGGGCGCAAGCCUGAUCCAGCCAUACCGCGUGGGUGAAGAAGGCCUUCGGGUUGUAAAGCCCUUUUGUUGGGAAAGAAAAGCAGCAGGUUAAUACCCCGCUGUUCUGACGGUACCCAAAGAAUAAGCACCGGCUAACUUCGUG